CCAGCAGCCGCGGUAAUUCCAGCUCCAAUAGCGUAUAUUAAAGUUGUUGCAGUUAAAAAGUUCGUAGUUGAAUUUCUGUUCGCGGCGGCGGUCCGUCCUAGUGGCGUGCACUUGCUUGACUGCGGAUAACUCCUUGCGGGGAAGGCGUGCGUGCUUUACUGUGCGUGCGUUCGGAUCCGCAUCAAUUACUGUGAGCAAAUCAGAGUGUUCAAAGCGGGCGUUUCGCUUGAAUGCAUUAGCAUGGAAUAAUGAGAUAGGACUUUGGUGCUAUUUCGUUGGUUGCGUGCCAAAGUAAUGAUUAAUAGGGACAGUUGGGGGUAUUCAUAUUUGAUUGUCAGAGGUGAAAUUCUUGGAUUUAUCAAAGAUGAACAACUGCGAAAGCAUUUACCAAGGAUGUUUUCAUCAAUCAAGAACGAAAGU
rnacentral:rRNA from 1 species